GACCGAGAGCCAGACGGCGGCGGCAGCAACCAGGGCGGACAGCGAAAGGCCAAGCGCCUCCACCAAGGUCCGGCUGAGCGGCAGUGCAGUAGAGCCCCCUGUCGCUUCAUGAGCAAGACAGUGACGGUGGCGGCAGGAGGCAGCAGCGGGGAGCGUAAGGAAGUGAAUAGAGAUUCGGGGCCGCGGCCCGGGCCCGCCGAGAGGAACAAUCGCCUAGGUCGCCCAUUGGCCCGCGGCCCGGUCCGACGUCAGCGAUGACAGGUCUCUCCGCACGCGAAUACACACACACACACACACACACACACACACACACACACACAAUCACAACUGCUCCAGCUCCCCUCCCCACCCCCAUCUCAGGCUUCUACUGCUCAUGCGCUCUGACCCGGGCAUGGAUUCUUUUCUCCACUUGUGAGCCCCCUCCCCCUUCUCUCCCGCAGGCUGGGCAGAUCCGCUUGCCUCGCGGCUCCUGGAAAAGAGCGGGCUUGGGUUUGGGGAGGGGGCUUGCGCUGAACCAAAGGUCCUAAGGACAGACCAGAGCCCCCAGCCCCGCCGGGACUGAUGGGCAGCACCGGGCGCGCGGGGACCGCGGCCUGCUUCUACAGUUUGUCCCAAGAGUCGGGCCGAGGCGAGGGCCGGGACUGGGGGAGGAAAGGUGGCUACAGACUUGGAGGCCCGCAGCCGGAAAACUCCUAGGUCCGCAGCUCUAGCGCCUAAUUUUGUUUUCUCGCUUUCUUCGAAUUUUCUCCUGCCUCUGUCUCUCUCUGUCUCUGUCUCUCUCUCUCAUUUCCACGAAACCCCUGGCCACACUUUCGCGUCUUACUUGGAUCCUUUCUUCUCCCCUCCUCCUCUCUUCUUCCCACUCAGCCUUGCUGGCUCCUUCACCCCGGUGCCUGGAGAGCUCAGAGACCGGCGGACCAGGGAAUCUGGCCCUGAACCGAGCCCCAGGAGUGGCCGGAGACGGUGAUGACCUGGGGGAGGCUGGCUUGGAACCCACAUCGCCCUCCUGAGAGGGUCUAAAGAUACUCCACCACCCCACCCCCCCAAAUCACAAGGACCUGCGGGGCCAACCAGCCAAAGAAACAAAGGCGAAGUAUGAAGAGGAGGAGCAGGUCCUCAACCCCAGGUCUCCCACCGUCACCUUGCAGUCUUGAGCUUGGUACCCGAACGCAAACUGAGCCUCUGGGAAAAGGGAUAGAAGCACUUCCACUUUGAGUUCCCUCCAGCCACUUGUUGCCCGCGGCCUCAUCCUGUCUCUAGUCGCUUGCUUUCUGGGUUUUGGAAGAGGGGAUGCCAGGUUUCCCGGCCCUGGCUGGGAAUGCGACCGCGGGCCAUGGUCUCCUCUCUCGGGAUGCCCUUCUGGGCUGUGGGUUCCGCCGUCUUGGGGUGGGGGGUCAGCCGGUGGACAAAACCUUCAGUUCUAGCCCAGCCGAGUGUGGCAUAAACAGAGGAGUGGGAUUCUUUGUUUGCGCCCACCGGCUAGGGCCGGAUGCACCGCCGGGCGGUUUAAAAGGCCUGGUGGCCCUAAAGCCAGCCUUGCACUAAGUAGCUGAAAAUCCCAUCCUAAGUUCUUGGGGCUCCCCGGUGGCUAUAUAAAGUACCCUCAAAGCAGCGAAAGGCUUGGAUUUUUUAAGAGAAGUUUUAAGGAUUGAGUUAAAAAAACCCAUUCCCCUAGCAGAGGUGACAAGUUUGUACAGAUUACAAGGAACUCUGAUGGAGUUGAUUGAGCUACCCCACUCAUCUCCAGCACUAAAGACUAUUCUUAAACAUUUCCUGGUCAUUAAAUAAGGGUUUCUUUUAAAUUUUUAAAAAUAAUUAACUUAUUUAUAGUAGUUGGCAGAUUCUUUGAGACUUUCUUCAUUUAAUGGAUUGUUCCCUGCUCAGGGCCACAAUCUCAUGAGGGAUUGAUUUCCACAACAAUUUCCCUCAGCUUUGACAAGUCCAGGUCUUUCUGCUCCUCUGGCCAGAAGAGCUCAAACAAACUACCAAUAGAUACUGUGUUAGCAUUAGGAAAAAAAAAAAAAAAAAGUUAAAGGAGGGCAUUUGACAGCCAAAUGUCUUCUCCUCUGGAAACCAAGGGCUUCCAUAUAGCAGUGUUGACACUAGACUUUGAGGAUUUUUCUCCUUUUCUAGCUUUCACCCUCUCCCACAUGCUCACUUUCUGGGAUUUAACCCCUCUUCCCACAGGUGCCUUGUUUCCAUUUCCUCCACCCUUUUGCACUUCCUCAAAGCACUGGUUUCAGGCUUUCCACCACACAGGUAUCUGUUGAGUGAGUGCUACAGCUGUCUAGGCCAACCCAUGAAGGUUCAAAAAUCAAGCAAAAACUAAAUCAAAAUCAAAAAUCAAACCAAUGUGUUCCUUUUUGGGGCCCCUUGCUUAGCUGUUUCUGUUAACCAUUCUUCAUCACAGAACUUAGACUACUUCUACUGUAGUAUUCAGGCCUAAGUGCAGGGGACAUUUCUUCAGUAGUCCAGCAAUUAAAAGAUUUUCUUUCCUAUCCAAAAGUAGGUAAUCUAAAAUCUACCAUUAAGGAUGUUUGUCAAACAUCUACUUUGGCAUCUAUUAAAACUCUGAUUUGUGCAAAAAUGGAUCACUUAUACAUUGUGACCACACCUGCAGUUCUCCUGUGGCACAGUGGGUUAAGUCUCUGGCACUGUCAUGGCAGCAGCUUAGGUCACUGCUGUGGCACAGGUUCAAUCCCUGGCCCAGGAACUUCCACUUGCUGUGGGUUUGGCAAAAUAAAAUAAAAUAAAAUCAGCCUGACCACACCUGCAUCAAAAGCUUUGACUAAUACCGCAGUUGUUCUAGGCUGUGGACGCUUUUGGAAGUCUGAUGAAGCUUGUGAUUUUUAAAAAUUCUUUGUUUGUUGCCUACACUUAUAAUGGAAGGAAACUAAAACAUUCCAUUAGAAGGUGGUAAAAAUAAAGAAGCAAUUUUUUUCCCCA